GAUGAACGCUGGCGGCGUGCUUAACACAUGCAAGUCGAACGAAGCACUUUAUUUGAUUUCCUUCGGGACUGAUUAUUUUGUGACUGAGUGGCGGACGGGUGAGUAACGCGUGGGUAACCUGCCUCGUACAGGGGGAUAACAGUUGGAAACGGCUGCUAAUACCGCAUAAGCGCACGGCAUCGCAUGAUGCAGUGUGAAAAACUCCGGUGGUAUAAGAUGGACCCGCGUUGGAUUAGCUAGUUGGUGAGGUAACGGCCCACCAAGGCGACGAUCCAUAGCCGACCUGAGAGGGUGACCGGCAACAUUGGGACUGAGACACGGCCCAAACUCCUACGGGAGGCAGCAGUGGGGAAUAUUGCACAAUGGGCGAAAGCCUGAUGCAGCGACGCCGCGUGAGCGAAGAAGUAUUUCGGUAUGUAAAGCUCUAUCAGCAGGGAAGAUAAUGACGGUACCUGACUAAGAAGCACCGGCUAAAUACGUG
rnacentral:rRNA from 1 species